GCAGAUUAGACAUGGUGGCCAAGUGGUAAGGUGUUGGUCUCGUAAACCAAAGAGUGUGGGUUCAAUCCCCACCUGUUGCA